rnacentral:rRNA from 1 species
GACGAACGCUGGCGGCGUGCUUAAAACAUGCAAGUCGAACGGACUUCUCAUGAAGCUUGCGAUUGAGAAGUUAGUGGCGGACGGGUGAGUAACGCGUGGGCAACCUGCCCCUGAGCCCGGGAUAACAGUUCGAAAGGACUGCUAAGACCGGAUAUACUUGCGGGGAAGCAUUUCACUGCAAGGAAAGGGAACGCUCAGGGAUGGGCCCGCGUCCCAUUAGCUAGUUGGUGAGGUAACGGCCCACCAAGGCGACGAUGGGUAGCCGGCCUGAGAGGGUGAACGGCCACACUGGGACUGGGACACGGCCCAGACUCCUACGGGAGGCAGCAGUUGGGAAUCUUCGGCAAUGGGCGCAAGCCUGACCGAGCAACGCCGCGUGAGUGAUGAAGGUUUUCGGAUUGUAAAGCUCUGUCUUCCGGGACGAUAAUGACGGUACCGGAGGAGGAAGCCACGGCUAACUACGUGCCAGCAGCCGCGGUAAGAGUGUGUGUA